rnacentral:miRNA from 1 species
GCUAGUAGGUUGGCGACAUGCU